GACAGAGGGUGCAAACGUUGUUCGGAAUUACUGGGCGUAAAGCGCGUGUAGGCGGCUAUGCAAGUCGGAUGUGAAAGCCCUCGGCUCAACCGGGGAAGUGCACCCGAAACUGCAAAGCUAGAGUCUCGGAGAGGAUCGUGGAAUUCGUCGGUGUAGAGGUGAAAUUCGUAAGAUAUCGAGAGGAACACCGGUGGCGAAGGCGGC
rnacentral:rRNA from 1 species